rnacentral:misc_RNA from 1 species
AAGUCGUAACAAGGUUUCCGUAGGUGAACCUGCGGAAGGAUCAUUAACACGUAUCCAACGUUAAACCCCCCUUUGAACUUUUAGCGUGCUCUUGUGCCUGGUAAAUCAGCCUUUGAUUCUGUCUAAAAGGAUGCAAUUGAGCGCUCGAGGCAAGUGGCUUGGUUUCCCCAAGCAAUUGGCGUCUGAAAGUGGCGCUGGUUGUGUAAGGAUAACGCUUUACGAUUGCUGUAGGCCGAACACCGGCCGGCGACUCGGCCACCGGGCUCACGCCCCCUAAUAACACCAGUAGUUAUCUUAAGGCACCACUCCACUGCAAGUGCGCCGGAGCUGGUGAAAACGAACAACUGUUAACAAUGGAUAUCUUGGUUCUC